rnacentral:rRNA from 1 species
ACGGGGGGAGCAAGCGUUGUUCGGAUUUACUGGGCGUAAAGGGUGCGUAGGCGGUUUGGCAAGUCGGGUGUGAAAACUCCGGGCUCAACUCGGAGACGCCACUCGAUACUGCCAUGACUCGAGUCCGGUAGGGGAGUGCGGAAUUCCUGGUGUAGCGGUGAAAUGCGCAGAUAUCAGGAGGAACACCGGUGGCGAAGGCGGCACUCUGGGCCGGAACUGACGCUGAGGAGCGAAAGCGUGGGGAGCGAACAGGA